rnacentral:rRNA from 1 species
GAUGAACGCUGGCGGCGUGCCUAAUACAUGCAAGUCGAGCGAACGGACGAGGAGCUUGCGGCUCUGAUGUUAGCGGCGGACGGGAGAGUAACGCGUGUAUAACCUACCUAUAAGACGGGGAUAACUUCGGGAAACCGUAGCUAAUACCGGAGAAUAUUUUGAACCGCAUGGUUCAAUGGUGAAAGACGGUCUUGCUGGCACGUAUAGAGGGAUCCGGGCUGCAUUAUCUAGUUGUUAAGGUAACGGCUUACCAAGGCAACGAUGCGUAGCCGACCGGAGGGGGGGAUCGGCGACCCUGGAACUGGGACACGGUCCAUACUCCUACGGGACGCAGCAGUCGGGAAUCUUCCGCAAUGGGCGAAAGCCUGACGGAGCGACGCCGCGUGAGUGAUGACGGUCUUCGGAUCGUAAAACUCUGUUAUUAGGGAAGAACAUAUGUGUAAGUAACUGUGCACAUCUUGACGGUACCUAAUCAGAAAGCCCCGGCUAACUACGUG